rnacentral:rRNA from 1 species
UACAGAGGGGGCAAGCGUUAUUCGGAAUUAUUGGGCGUAAAGGGCGCGUAGGCGGCCUGGCAAGUGGAAGGUGAAAUCCCUCGGCUUAACCGAAGGAACUGCCCUCCAAACUGCUUGGCUUGAGUCCGGGAGAGGUGAGUGGAAUUCCCAGUGUAGCGGUGAAAUGCGUAGAUAUUGGGAGGAACACCAGUGGCGAAGGCGGCUCACUGGACCGGAACUGACGCUGAGGCGCGAAAGCGUGGGGAGCAAACGGG